rnacentral:tRNA from 1 species
ACUUUUUUAGUAUAAAAAAAUAUAUUUGAUUUCCAAUCAAAAGAUCUUUAAAAGAAAAAGUA